rnacentral:lncRNA from 1 species
UCUUUAAUAAAAUUCUAAAGAUUUAAAUUUAAUAGAGUUUGUAAAAUAAUUGAACGAAGAUAAGCUCUCAAGAGAAUAUUACGUUUUGAAUAAUAAGCAAUGGAGCAUUGUUCGAAUCGCACGAUCAAGCCGGAAACGAGUAAAGAGAAUACCGACAAAAUUCGACAGAAUGAUAUUCGAUGUCGUGUGACAGACGGGUCGUGGCCGGAAAAGCGCGAAAAUAGGAAGAGGAAGCGAGCGAAGAAAGAAAGAAAAGAGAGGCGGAGACGUGGAAGUGGCGCGUGGCACUAUCGAAUAAGUAUCGAAUGCCGCCAGAUGUUGCGGUGAAGCCAGCUGCUGCACCUCCGCCACUCUGCCCUCUUUUGCUUUUCCUCGCGGUUUUUCGAGAGAGUCGAGCAGGUACAGACACCGACCAAUGUAUAGCUGAGAACUGGCGUGAAAAUCAAAAAGGGACAAGAAGGAAAAGAAAAAGGAGAGCUCUUCGAGCGAGGAGAACAAGAUGGGAAGGAAGUGGCGGAGGGGGUCGAAAGCGAAUAUCCUUCCUGCCGGGGCAACAAACAGGCAGCUGCUCGGAUUUGAGCACGUGCUACUACCACCGUGCGCUGCCACGAUGAACCUCGUCUUAGAUAGCCGAGGUUGGUAGGUUGCUGGGUAAAGAUAGGUAAGUGUUAUACACCAGCCUAUAUGACUGAAUAUGAUCCAGGUAUCCGGCGGGACUGACGAGUAUUUUCGUGCGUGUUCCGGUGAUCUUUGCACGUGCUGCAUUUUAUUCCUUUUCCUAUUUAAAUUCACCUCGAACCUUCCUGAUCUCUUAUUCAUCCAGCAACAAUUGAGUUACCGUUGAAAAUGGUUCUCCUUUUUAUUCUGAAGAAAAAAGUGACUUGAUGACUUGAUAGCACGUGCUAUGAUUAUGUUUUGCAUGGAAAAUGACCGACAAAGGUUGAUCGGUGGGAUGAUCGGAAGGUAUUAUGCACCAACUCUCUAAAUAGAAGGUAUACUAUAUACGAGCACCAGAUAUCCCCAGGAAGGGUACGAUCGUGCAUGCAUGCGUAUCUCCCUUCAUGGCAUCAACUGUACGUAAGUUUUCCUUCGGGCUAUUAAUUCUCUCUCAAGGUGGUCUCUGAUUUUGCAAUUUUACACCAGUUGAGUUUUAUGGGCUUUUCCUUUAGUUACGUGAGAUAUUAACAGAUAUUUUCUUAAUAAUCUAUUUAUCAAUUCAGGCAAUGAAAUGUUGGAAAAUUCUAACCUCAAAUUUUAUCGAUUAAAAUUUAUGUUAUUAAUUUUGAUUUUUUUUUAAAAAGGACUAAGGAAAUGAUCGAGCUACUGAUUUUUAAACGAUUAUAUGUCUAAUAGAAAGUUAAAUUGAUUUUCUGUUGACUGGAUAAUUAAAUUUUCAGCGAAUCGAAUAUCUUCUUAUCUGAUCAUAUAUCCGUAGACCUGGCGUUAUUAAUUUAGUAGAAAUCUGCAGGUGCUUCUACAGAAAUUUCGUUGAUCGAUCCUGCAUCCAUGUCGACCAAUGCACAUAAUCAAACCCGCAUUCAAAGAUCCUUUAAAGGAAUUUUAUUUAUUAUAAUUAUAUAUUUUAUAUUAUUAUAAUUGCAAAUGAAAUGGAAAUCAACUGAAAAAUAUAUUUUUUUUCUUAUUUUUGAAUUUUGAUAUUAAUUAUGAAAGUCACGAUAUUAAUUAUAAAAUCUGAUACUUGUUAUCAUGCUGAAAGAUCAAUUAAUUUUAUUUUUGAAAAAAAUUGCUGAAUAAAAGAAAUCAAAUAAUUUUAUCCACAGGAAUGUUUAUGAAAAGGAUUAAUAGAAGAUUGUCCUAUACCACUUAUCUAUUCAAAAACGCACGACACAUUAGUUACAAUAUUACAAAUGAUAUUUAUUGGCCUGAUCCUCCAUGGUACCUGAUAAUCAUGCGACACCUGUUACGACACAACACUUACUUAAUUGGAGGCUACGAACAGCUGCCCACACGACGAACCAAUCACGGCUGUUCGCCUGAAAUUCUUCUUUACUCGCGACAUCCCUGACGAGCACCUGUUCCAAUUCGGAAUAUACCGAACAAGGAUCCUUGACCAGGAUUUCGCACGAAAGGAAAGUCCGCAUUGAUUGUCGGAUUCCGAUUUAUUCGAUCGACAGCCGUGAUUUCGUUUUGACGAUAAUGCAACUAGCCAAUUAAUUAAAACAUGCAACAUAUGAAAUUGGAAUAUCAAUCAAAUCCGAAUUUAAAUUAGAAGUAUUUAAUAUUUCGCAAUAUGUUUUUUUUUUCAAAUUAAAAUUAAAUAAAUUUUAAUUAAAAUUUAGACUAAUUAAGCGAGAAUGGAAAAUAUUUUUAUCUAAUUAUUCUGAACAUAUUUCUUCAAUUUUUAUGUUCUAUAUGUUUUUUAUCAUUUUAGAGUAUGGUGUGGAUUUUUACAAACAAGCGAUUGCAUUUAUUACUUAACUGCCAUAGCGAAGCUGGAAAUUUAUCCAUCGCAUAAAAGCAUAUCAUGCUCAAAUAUUCGAGGAGGCUGCAGUUAGUUUCUUAAGUCCUUUGCUACUUUACAACGACACUGCGUAACGAUGCUGGACGAACGGCACAGCUGUCAACCCGUGUCCACAAGAGGACCAUGCUUGAAUUUCUAUAUCGUCCACGAUAUCAUACUCAAAUAUGUAUUCGGUAUAUAUACCACUAUGGCGAAAUUCCUUGAUGUUACCUCACCAUGCUUAAUGACACGUAAGAGGUCUGCGUAUUACACCUGUCAGGCCACCUUUGCCAAAAAUUACUCAAAUUCUGUCUCUUACGAUGGGACAUGGAGGAUCAACCAGCUGGUGUUAUAGCUUUUCACGAUUUCGCAAUGUUUGAUAAACGAAAUUCAAGAAAAUUGUUCUGCUGGAAAUUAAUCAUCAAACUUGAUAAUCUCGACAAUUAAAAUUAAGUAUUAGUGAUUAAACACG